rnacentral:rRNA from 1 species
UGGGCUUGACAUCCCGCGGACAGAUGUAGAGAUACAUCCUUCCCUUCGGGGACUGCGGUGACAGGUGGUGCAUGGUUGUCGUCAGCUCGUGUCGUGAGAUGUUGGGUUAAGUCCCGCAACGAGCGCAACCCUUAUUGUUAGUUGCUACGCAAGAGCACUCUAACGAGACUGCCGUUGACAAAACGGAGGAAGGUGGGGACGACGUCAAAUCAUCAUGCCCCUUAUGUCCAGGGCCACACACGUACUACAAUGGCGGUCAACAGAGGGAGGCAAUACUGCGAAGUGGAGCGAAUCCCUAAAAGCCGUCCCAGUUCGGAUUGCAGGCUGCAACCCGCCUGCAUGAAGUUGGAAUCGCUAGUAAUCGCGGAUCAGCAUGCCGCGGUGAAUACGUUCCCGGGCC